rnacentral:rRNA from 1 species
AGGACGAACGCUGGCGGCGUGCUUAACACAUGCAAGUCGAGCGGUAAGGCCUUUCGGGGUACACGAGCGGCGAACGGGUGAGUAACACGUGGGUGAUCUGCCCUGCACUUCGGGAUAAGCCUGGGAAACUGGGUCUAAUACCGGAUAUGACUUCAGGUUGCAUGACUUGGGGUGGAAAGAUUUAUCGGUGCAGGAUGGGCCCGCGGCCUAUCAGCUUGUUGGUGGGUAAUGGCCUACAAGGCGACGACGGGUA